rnacentral:lncRNA from 1 species
AAAUAGGGUUGGGAUCCUACUGACCGGGCAUAAACUUCAUAUGCUGGGCAAUACUUGCAUAGGCUGUAUGAAGUUUAUGCCCGGUCUCCAUAGAGUGCGCGCGCCACCGAGUUGAGCACGGUUAGUGUCCGUCGCCGCUACGCCCUUUCACUUGACCUGCGGUGGAAGGGUGGAUUUGAUAUGACGUCGAAUUCACUCUUUCUGUCUGCGUUUCAGGUGCUACCGGGCGCUUACGACCGAGGAAGGAAGAUUCUGGGUCCUCCACCGAAGACGCGACAAUCGCUCGUCUCC